CCUACGGGAGGCAGCAGUGAGGAAUAUUGGUCAAUGGCCGGAAGGCUGAACCAGCCAUGCCGCGUGAAGGUCAGUGCCCUCUGGGCGUUAAACUUCUUUUGUGCGGGAGCAAUAAUGGUCACGUGUGGCCAGACGAGAGUACCGUACGAAUAAGCAUCGGCUAACUCCGUGCCAGCAGCCGCGGUAAUACAGGGGAUGCAAGCUUUAUCCGGAUUUAUUGGGUUUAAAGGGUGCGUAGGCUGGGAGGUAAGUCAGCGGGGAAAUGCCCCCGCUCAACGGGGUGAAGUGCCAUUGAUACUGCCUGGCUGGAAUGCGGAUGCCGUGGGAGGAAUGUGUGGUGUAGCGGUGAAAUGCAGAGAGAUCACACAGAACACCGAUUGCGAAGGCAGCUCACGAAUCCGCGAUUGACGCUGAUGCACGAAAGCGUGGGUAUCAAACAGGAUUAGAUACCCGAGUAGUC
rnacentral:rRNA from 1 species